AAAAAGUAUGUCUGGGUUUACAAAAGAAAAGGGAAUUCCCAUAUUUCAGAAGAAAAUAAAUUGCUGAAAACUGUGGCUUUGCCUCAUGAGCUAGCAUUUCGGCAGCUAUGCUGGAGAUUAUUGGAUCCACUUAGUCCUUGGGUUUCACGCCCACACAGGACUGGGACAGAGGCUUGGAGACUCAGUGGAAAACUGAACACAGUGGUCAAACAUCAUUCCAGAAUGAGGGAAAAUAAAAUCCUACAGUUCAUAAUAACCAUAGUUAGCAUUGACAGAAGUAUUGAAGAAUAUUCUUCAUAAAAAAAAAAAUGCAGUGGUGGAAGGCAAUUAGUAAUGAUGAGGGGGAAAAUGGGCACUUACGUUGACAAAAGUCAAUAAUGAGGAGUUCCCAUCGUGGCUCAGUGGAAAUGAACCUGACUAGUAUCCAGGAGGAUGCAGGUUCAGUCCCUGGCCUCGUUCAGUGCCUAAAGAUCCAGCAUUGCCAUGAGCUGUGGUGUAGGUCACAGACAUGGCUCGGAUGCAAGUUCAAUCCCUGGCCUCGCUCAGUGGGUUAAGGAUCUGGUGUUGCCAUGAGCCGUGUUACAGGUUGCAGGUACGGCUCUAAUCUCACAUUGCUGUGACAUAGGCCUGGGAAAUUCCAUAUGCCGCAGGUGCAGCCCUAAAAAGACAGACGAAAAGACAAAAAAAAAAAAAAAAAAAAACUUGAUCGUGAGGGCGAUAGCACUAAAAGUGAGAUAAAAUUUCCAGGAACCUCUUCUGUCUACAUCACAUCGGACCUGUAGGUCACUGAAACAUGUAGUAGCAAUGAGCAAAUCAUCUGAUGCCCAAAUUCCGCUGAAUGCUUCUUACUGGCAAAAAUGAUAAAAUUUGCCCUCACAGAGCUUACAUGGCAUAGAAAAGAGAAAGAAAAUGAAUUAUAUGUGUAAUAAAUAUAAGUACAUAAUGCUGUUAUAAGGCUAUAAGAAUUAUAACAUUAGGCUAGGGCCAGGUACACUGAGAGUGAUAAGAGUAAGGCUUGAAAUUCCAAGUGAGGUUUUCAAGACAUUACUCUAUGUGAAGUUAGCAUUGAGGAAAAUCUUAAAGGCACUGAAGGAGUUAAACAUUGCAUGUCUGGAGAAAAAAAAAAAAUGUUCCAUGAAGAAGAAAAAUAAGUAAAAAUGCACUAAGGUUGAAGUGUAUCUAGCUUGGUCAAGGAAGAGCAGAGGCCAAAGAGCCUGGAGCAAAGUUAGCAAAAAAGAGAAAGAAGACAUAUAGGGUCAGAGAGUUAAUGGAACCAGGCAGGUGGGACCAGACCUUGCUCAUGAUUUUGGUUUUGGUUUUGACUUAGUACAGAAAAGAGAGCUCUCUGGAGGGUUCUAAGAAGGAAAAGUGACUUAUCUUGUACUUUAAAGGGAUCAGUCCAGCUGCUGUGUAAUAACAGAUAAGGCAUGUUUGAGGAAGAGGGUGGUCAGGGAGAGUUCAAGUUAGGAUGUUAUCACAGGAAACCCGGUGAGACAUGAUGAUAGCUUAGGCCUGCAGGUAAAAUAUGGUGAGGAUGAUAAAAAGACAGACAAAUAAUUUGUCCUUCUUGUAUAUUUUCCUAUUAGCAAAAAAAAAAAAAAAAA
rnacentral:lncRNA from 1 species